AGAGGAGAACAGAAGAGGCGACAGGAGUGUGGAUGUCCUGGGGAGACCCCCAGCCGUGGCCGUGCUGCAAAGCCGGCGGUAACUAGAUCGCUGGCUCUUCACCACUCAGAGCUUGCUUUGAGGAUCGGCGAUAUUGGAGAUCACACCUUCCCAGCCAGCUCCUUUGAGGGCCUGAUAGUCUUUCUUCCCCGCCUUUCUGAGAAGCAGUCUACUGGGAAGAACAGGCUUGCGGGCUGGGUGAAUGGGCAGAGUGGACACAGGCUUCUCUCUGGAGACUGGGGCGGGGGUGCACCUCUCCCCUUCGCAGACACGUCCGAGGACUGCUGCUGCAGAAAGAAGAGGCAGUACCCAGGGACAAACCACGUGCAAGGCCCCCAGCCCUAGGAGGGGCUGAGAGACCCUCAGGGCCUAUGCUUUGGUACAGACGUGUCACUAGCUAUGGCACCGGAAUCUGGCCGGGCUGUUUCCCGGCUGGAAGCUUUCCAUGGCUCCCCACUGCCUGCGGGGACAAAGUCCAGACUCUGUGGCCCGUGUGUAAGGCCCUCUGCCCAGGGUCUCAACUGUCCCCUCCAGCUCCUCCUCUGUGCUUCCCUCUAUUUGACCUCUGCCUCCUUCACCCAGCCAUCUCCCGCUCACAGGCUUUGACCCAGCAGGGGCUGGAUCUCUUGGGCAACUUGUCCCUGCCCCCAACUCCAGUCUAGAUGGGUUAGGGGCUGCCUCUGCGAGCUCACCAGGCGCAUCUCUCCUGGGACCCUUACCUACAUCGCCUGGUUACUGCCUGGUCUCUUGAUCAUCACCCAGCCAGGGAUAGCAACUGUGGGCUUGGCGUAUCUGAAAGAACGUUCGGUAAAGGAAGAAAUGAGCAAAGCAUGUCCAUCUUAGAACAUCCAUACAAAGCAGAAAAGUGUAAUGGAGAAAGCAAAGUUUCUUCUUCAGUGGAAGUUCCAGUCACUCAGAGGGAACCGUGGCUGGAAUCUCCUCUUGGUCAUCUCCCUCUCCUGGGCAUCACCUGGGCUUCUGAUGAAGCUUCCCAAGUGUGGGCACCUCUUUGAUCUGUGCAGCUCCCUACGUAAGCUACCUCUCUACUUGUCUCUUGACCUAUGAGCGCUGAAGAAUUGAUGCUUUUGAACUGUGGUGUUGGAGAAGACUCUUGAGAGUCCCUUGGACUGCAAGGAGAUCCAACCAAUCCAUUCUAAAGAUCAGUCCUGGGUGUUCUUUGGAAGGAAUGAUGCUAAAACUGAAACUCCAAUACUUUGGCCACCUCAUUCGAAGAGUUGACUCAUUGGAAAAGACUCUGAUGCUGGGAGGGAUUGGGGGCAGGAGGAUAAGGGGACGACAGAGGGUGAGAUGGCUGGAUGGCAUCACCGAUUCGACGGAUGUGAGUUUGAGUGAACUCCAGGAGUUGGUGAUGGACAGGGAGGCCUGGUGUGUUGCAAUUCACGGGGUCCCAAAGAGUCAGACACGACUGAGCGACUGAACUGAACUGAUGAUCUUAUUUGACCAAGUAUUUUGAAACUUUUGGACAACUGUUCCAAAUAUCAAAGUUUAAUUAUAUUUCUUUUAACUUCCAGCUGACUUUGGGAUGCUUUAGAGGACCCCUGAGGCAUCUCAGAGAGGAAUAUUUAACUUGUAUUAUUUGGCAUGGUGAAUUACAUAGGGAAACAUUGUCAAAUGAAUGAUAAAUCUCAGAUUAUAUGCCAUGGAUAAAUUCUACUAUAGAUAUUCUAGAAAUUACAUAAAGUUUCUGAAAUACGGAUAUGUCAUGGUAUAAUCUGUCAGCCAUAAUUCUGGUUAAAUCACAGGUUCUUGAUUAAGCUUCUUUGUCAACAUUGUGAUCUUUAAUUUGCCUUUUGAAGUCUUUGUGCGUGCGUGCAUGCUAAGUUGCUUUAGUCGUAUCCGACUCUGCAAACCUAUGGACUGUAGCCUGCCAGGCUCCUCUGUCCAUGGGAUUCUCCAGGCAAGAAUUACUGCAGAGGGUUGCCAUUCCCUUCUCCAGGGUUUCUUCCCAACCCACGGAUGGAACCCAUGUCUGUUAGUCUCCUGCGUUGGCAGGUGGUUUCUUUACCACCUGGGAAGCCCUUUUAAGUCUUUAAUAGACAGUUAGUCUGAUGCUUUGCAAAAAUACUUCAUCUUUAAGAAGUUUCAUAGGAAGGACUUUUUGUCAAGUACAGGUCUCUAAUAAAUUGCAGACUAUACCAUUGAACUGGGUAAGAAAUUUAAAUUCCUAAUGGAAAACCUAAUGGCUUCAAUAAAAUGUUGAC
ensembl:lncRNA